UGAUCAAGUGAUGAGAAAAAUAACUGCAACAAAAUGAUAUUUGUUUGUGAUUAUUAUCUGUAUUUAAGUCUCUGAUGAUGAACAAAUAUUUGUUUAAAUUUACUACUUUUAUUGUUUGUUAAUUUGGAGAAAUGAUGAGGAAUUAAUUGGUCCGUGUUUCUGAAUUAUCCGUGACCGACAACCUUUAACCACUUCUGAUCUC
rnacentral:lncRNA from 1 species